AGGACGAACGCUGGCGGCGUGCUUAACACAUGCAAGUCGAGCGGAAAGGCCCUUCGGGGUACUCGAGCGGCGAACGGGUGAGUAACACGUGAGCAACCUGCCCUUGGCUCUGGGAUAGCCUCCGGAAACGGGGAUUAAUACCGGACAUUCACUUUCUCCUGCAUGGGGGUUGGUGGAAAGUUUUUCGGCCAGGGAGGGGCUCGCGGCCUAUCAGCUUGUUGGCGGGUAACGGCCCACCAAGGCGAUGACGGGUAGCCGGCCUGAGAGGGCGAUCGGCCACACUGGGACUGAGACACGGCCCAGACUCCUACGGGAGGCAGCAGUGGGGAAUAUUGCACAAUGGGCGCAAGCCUGAUGCAGCGACGCCGCGUGGGGGAUGAAGGCCUUCGGGUUGUAACCCCUUUCACCAGGAGCGAAUUCAGACGGUACCGUGGGGAAGAAGCGCCGGCUAACGUACGCCGCAGCAGCCGC
rnacentral:rRNA from 1 species